AUUGAACGCUGGCGGCAGGCCUAACACAUGCAAGUCGAGCGGAUGAAGAGAGCUUGCUCUCUGAUUUAGCGGCGGACGGGUGAGUAAUGCCUAGGAAUCUGCCUGGUAGUGGGGGACAACGUUUCGAAAGGAACGCUAAUACCGCAUACGUCCCACGGGAGAAAGUGGGGGAUCUUCGGACCUCACGCUAUCAGAUGAGCCUAGGUACGAUUAGCUAGUUGGUGAGGUAAAGGCUCACCAAGGCGACGAUCGUUAACUGGUCUGAGAGGAUGAUCAGUCACACUGGAACUGAGACACGGUCCAGACUCCUACGGGAGGCAGCAGUGGGGAAUAUUGGACAAUGGGCGAAAGCCUGAUCCAGCCAUGCCGCGUGUGUGAAGAAGGUCUUCGGAUUGUAAAGCACUUUAAGUUGGGAGGAAGGGCAGUAAGUUAAUACCUUGCUGUUUUGACGUUACCGACAGAAUAAGCACCGGCUAACUUCGUGCCAGCAGCCGCCGUAAUAC
rnacentral:rRNA from 1 species